UCGCGGGAUGGAGCAGUUUGGUAGCUCGUCGGGCCCAUAACCCGAAGGUCGCAGGUUCAAAUCCUGCUCCCGCAAU
rnacentral:tRNA from 1 species